UGAUUUUCCAGAGAGGAGGAGGGCUCUGUCUUCUGAGUACUCAAGCUGUACGAUCGUCCAUGGAAUCCUGUCUGGCCUGCGGCUCCUCAAGCAGCGGGUGCUCUCCAGGCCUCUGCGUGGCACCUGCUCUUCCCUUCAUCUGGACUGCCUGCCCUUUGACUGUCAGGAUCCAGCCUGGUGGAACAGUUCCCACCUGGGACAUGAUAUUCUCAUGGCAGAGCAAAAGAGUUUUGCCGCCUGCUGGUCGGGGUUGUCUCAUCUUGGUUCCCCCCUGGAUGCCACCGUGGAGGGAGCUUGCUGACCCGGCUGGAUCUACACACACUUGCGGGCUGUGAAGCUUGCUGGGUGCCCAGGCCCAGAAAACACAUUGACGAGCUAUAGCAGCAGCACCAAGUGAAGCAGAAAGCGAGACGGGUCAUCACUCACGCCGCGUCCUCUGUGGGAUGGUUCCUCUGGUUCCUCCUCCGUCCAAAUCCCCUCGCUCCUGGAUCAGCUAACGCCACCCCCUCCUUUCCUUCUCUGUGCUCCUCCCUUGUCUUCUGGACUAAAGUAACCUCAUGUGUUUUCUAUUUGAAA